UGGCAGCCACAUUUUUGUGGUGUUGAAAGGUGAAAAUACUCGCAUGCUGCGCACUGAGCGCACAUUAAAGAUCCAGGUGGCCAAAAUUAAUCUGGAGUCCUUCACUACCGUGAGCCUCACCCGCUGUGAUUGCUGAACGGUCCUUCGAGUUAUCAACUCCUCUGGGGCAAGUGAGCACGUUGAGAUGCUUGGUGCAUUUAAUUUGCCCUUACCACGAUGAAGUUAGAAUGCAGGCGGAAGCUUCCGCGGACAAGAAACCCGACGAAAAAAAAAAAACAUUUCACCAAAUGGACUAUAAUGCUUUCGCAGGCGAGCAGUCUGAACGGUUUUGUCCGUGGCUUCUGAAUGACGAUCGACAUUUGAGAAGUGGUCACCUACGAUAAGUUCCCGACAACUCAUUGACAUACCCGCCGUGGUUGCUCAGUGGCUAUGGUGUUGGGCUGCUGAGCACGAGGUCGCGGGAUCGAAUCCCGGCCAUGGUGGCCGCAUUUCGAUGGGGGCGAAAUGCGAAAGCACCCGUGUACUUAGAUUUAGGUGCACGUUAAAGAACCCCAGGUGGUCAAAAUUUCCGGAGUCUUCCACUACGGCGUGCCUCAUAAUCAGAAAGUGGUUUUGGCACGUAAAACCCCAUAAUUACAUUACAUUACAUUACCGUGAGCCUCAUAAUCCGUUCGUGGUUUUGGCACAUAAUACCCCAGAAUGCAAUUAUUCAUCUCACAUUUUUAUUGCCUGUUGGAUAUAAUAGGUGUAGUCCUUCUAGCAGCCUUUCUCAUUUUUUUUUCAUGUCAUUGUCUUCUUGCAUGUAAGCAUUGCUCUACAGUAAUUGAAUGCUCUUUAUUCAUUACCAAGUGGUAGUGUCUGUUUUCAAGCUGUAUGUAAAUAAUUGAACUUAGUGAUUGUAUUAAUUAUUCUUUAUAUGUUUUCUGCUUAUUUGUGGUAAUGUAGAAAUACCGUUAUUUGCAAUUGCUUGUUCAGAACCAAUCCUUCUCCUUUCUUAAUAUUACUAUAUGUUGAAUUUGCAUUGUAUUGGCUACUCCAGAGAAGUGUAGUAAUAGCACUUGGAAGUUCAUUUAUUUUUUACCUUGAGAUGUCCUUUUUAUGAGGUAUUCAACAGUAGUUAAAAUUUUGAGCACAGUGUUAUGAUCCAUGUUCUUACUUCAUUCCUCUAUUGGUCAAACUAUAGUACCAGAAGUCCUGCUUACACCGGUGCGCCAUAUUUCACGUCUCAUAUGUCUACAGACUUGUAUUUUGACAUUUGCACAAUGAUAAAUACACUGUAUGUAGUGCUAUUGUACAAGCAGUCAGAGUAUGUGCCUGUUUCGUUUUCUAUUUCUCAAAAUCAUUGUUCUACAAUCGUGGUUGUGCUAGCCUCUGGUUGGAAAAUUUCUAAGCACUAAAAUGACUUCACAGCAAGUGUCUUUUGUUCAUAAGCACCGAGAAUUAGCUGUGCUUUGCUUACUUAAUGCGCCUUGCUUGAGUAAAAUAAACGUGCAAGUAAAUGAGCACCAUAAGCCCAGUGGCCCAUUGAAAUUCUGUAUAAAGCACUAGACCUUACGCACUUCAUUUUGUGCUGUGCCAUGCAUGUUGUUUUUUUAUUCUUGUGUGUGGUAAAAGCAAUGUUUUGUUAUGGCAUAUUCUUAGUUGUAUUCGCCAGAGUGGACAUGACCGUGGAGUGCACUGAUGGACUGCAUUGCUUCUUCCGAGUUGGCUUUUGCAUUGCAAGACGACAUACCUGGUUUACCUUGUUGGCAUAUCUGCAUCAUCUUAUUCUUUAGCAGUCGUUAUUGAUUUGUGUACUUGUUUAUUAGUUAUUGAUGUCUUUUACACUUAGCAAAGCAAAGGGUGACUGAUUGAAACAGUUCUAACGAAGAAAUUAAAUAAGUGUAAAUGCUGCAGCAGCAUCUGACCACACUAUGCAGAAAUAAUUGUUGCGCAUUGCUGUGUGUAUGUAGUAAAUGGCUCAGAUAAUGAAAUACCAGUAUCAAUAAUACUUUUAAUAAUGAUGCAUUCGGGACAAAGGGCAUCUGGCCUCAUUUCAAGACUUCAUCGCUCAAGUGUGGUUCUUGUUAUUUCAUUAAACAUGUGGUCACACAUUCAUUACAAAAAAGGGGGAGGUUUGAUUGUCGUAUGGUCAGUGCAAUGGGGUGAGCUCAGGUUUCUAAGUUUGUGUUGCUAACGACCAUCUGAUUGAGGAUUGUCCAAGAGAAGGGUUAUUUUUAAUUUUACUGUUUGGACAAUUGCACCUUGACUUAUUUUCCAAGUGUUACUGGUGCAUAGGCUGCGGUAAAGGGCACAAACUUGAGUGCGAAUGCCGACAUGGUCACAAUGGAUAACACAGGCAAUUACAGUGGUGUACAAAUGUCUGUGCUGCAAGUAUAUCAUUUAGGAAGAAAGUAUUCUAAAUAGCCGAUAGUCACAUAAUUUCUUUAUCUGCGCUGUUGUACAUAUGGGUGGAUGACAAUUUUUCCCUUUUAAAGUAUGCUUAAGUUCAAUUUUUAGGGGAGGAAAUUAAUUGUUGCCUGAAGGGAAUAUAAAUAUACCUAGAGCAAAUCAGAACAGUGCUCUGUUUGGUAUUUUUUUAAUGGCCCUCAAGAAGUACUGAACUAACAAAAAGUUCAUCAGAAUCGGUGUGCUCUGAUUUUGGCAUUUCAUAAGUGCAGGUUGGUUUUCAUUGUGCAGGAUCAAAGCAGUCAUUCUGUCCAACAAUUGCCAAGAAUGACAAGUCACAGCAGGGACGCCUCUACCGCUGUGACUUCUGUAACUACGAAACUGGAAAUCUGUUUAAUAUGAAAAUACACAUCAGGGCCCACACAGGCGAGAAGCCAUUUCAGUGCCCUUCAUGCUCUCUGAGCUUCUCGCAAAAGGGCACUCUCACAAGACAUCAGCUCAUCCACACAGGUGAACGACAAUACCACUGCACCAUCUGCUCCAAGUCCUAUGGGAGGGCCGAUUACUUGAAGGUACACAUGAAAGCACAGCACCAUGGCAGCCCCAAGAUCAAGGCAUCCAUCCUCACAAACUACCGAAGAUAAGUCGCACCAGAGACACCUUCACUGCUGCGACUUCUGUGACUUUGAAACUAGAAAACUGUUCUGUCUGAAAACACACAUGAGGGUCCACAAAGGGGAGAAGCCAUUUCAGUGCCCUUCGUUCCCUCAUAGCUUUUCGCAAAAGGGCCCUCUUAACACACCUGCACGUUCACGCCGAUGAGCGACUAUUUCAGUGUCUUUUGUGCUCUUGAAGAUUCUCACAAAAGCUCGGACUGAAUAAUCACUUCUGCAGCCACUCAGGCAAGCAACCAUAUCAGUGCCGCUCGUGCCCUCGAACUUUUGUGAAAAGCAACAA